GCGGGCGUGGCGGAAUGGCAGACGCGCCAGACUUAGGAUCUGGUGGGGUUAACCCGUGGAGGUUCAAGUCCUCUCGCCCGCA
rnacentral:tRNA from 1 species